rnacentral:rRNA from 1 species
AGUGAACGCUGGCGGUAGGCCUAACACAUGCAAGUCGAACGGCAGCACAGUAAGAGCUUGCUCUUACGGGUGGCGAGUGGCGGACGGGUGAGGAAUACAUCGGAAUCUACUUUUUCGUGGGGGAUAACGUAGGGAAACUUACGCUAAUACCGCAUACGACCUACGGGUGAAAGCAGGGGAUCUUCGGACCUUGCGCGAUUGAAUGAGCCGAUGUCGGAUUAGCUAGUUGGCGGGGUAAAGGCCCACCAAGGCGACGAUCCGUAGCUGGUCUGAGAGGAUGAUCAGCCACACUGGAACUGAGACACGGUCAAGACUCCUACGGGAGGCAGCAGUGGGGAAUAUUGGACAAUGGGCGCAAGCCUGAUCCAGCCAUACCGCGUGGGUGAAAAAGGCCUUCGGGUUGUAAAGACCUUUUGUUGGGAGAGAAAAGCAGCAGGUUAAGACCCCGCUGUUCUGACGGUACCCAAAGAAGAAGCACCGGCUAACUUCGUG